AACGAACGCUGGCGGCAGGCUUAACACAUGCAAGUCGAGCGCCCCGCAAGGGGAGCGGCAGACGGGUGAGUAACGCGUGGGAACGUACCCUUUGCUACGGAAUAGCUCCGGGAAACUGGAAUUAAUACCGUAUGUGCCCUACGGGGGAAAGAUUUAUCGGCAAAGGAUCGGCCCGCGUUGGAUUAGCUAGUUGGUGGGGUAAUGGCCUACCAAGGCGACGAUCCAUAGCUGGUCUGAGAGGAUGAUCAGCCACAUUGGGACUGAGACACGGCCCAAACUCCUACGGGAGGCAGCAGUGGGGAAUAUUGGACAAUGGGCGCAAGCCUGAUCCAGCCAUGCCGCGUGAGUGAUGAAGGCCUUAGGGUUGUAAAGCUCUUUCAGUAGGGAAGAUAAUGACGGUACCUACAGAAGAAGCCCCGGCUAACUUCGUGCCAGCCGCCGCGGUAACAC
rnacentral:rRNA from 1 species